UUUUUUGAUUGGGGACUGGAAUGAAAGGUAGAAACUAAAGAGAAGGUUUUAAUUAAUAAUUUUGAAUUUAGAUUAAAAGUAAAAAUACUUUUAUUUACUCUUGGGACGAGAAGACCCUAGAAGUUUAAAAUUUAAAAAUUUUUGAUUGGGGCAAUAGUUGAAGAAAUUAAUUUUUAAUUAAUUAGCAUUUAAUAUAGUAUAAAUUACUCUAGGGAUAACAGCGUUAUUUAAUUAACAAGUUCUUAUUAAUAAUUAAGUUUGCGACCUCGAUGUUGAAUUAAAUUGAAAUUUUAAAUGAAGAAGUUUAAAUGACUAGUCUGUUCGACUAUUAAAAAUUUACGUGAUCUGAG
rnacentral:rRNA from 1 species